GUGCUCGCUUCAGCAGCACAUAGACUAAAAUUGGAACGAUACAGAGAAGAUUAGCAUGGCUCCUGCGCAAGAAUGACAUGCAAGUUCGUGAAGCGUUCCAUAUUUUU
rnacentral:snRNA from 1 species